rnacentral:pre_miRNA from 1 species
AAAGUACUCCCUCCAUCCCAAAAUUAUUGUCUUAGAUUUUUCUAGAUACGGAUGUAUCAAGUCACAUUUUAGUAUUAGAUACAUCCGUAUCUAGACAAAUCUAAGACAAGAAAUUUGGGACAGAGGGAGUAGUUG